CUCGGGCGGUUCCAGGUUAGGGAUUCUGAGCUGGCUGCUGGCCUCCCAGCUCCCCGGCGGUAGAGUGGGCAUAAUGUUUAUGUGGCAUGUAUGCCUGGGCACAGCGGAAGAGUCCGGCACACACAGAGUUCUGGACGCCUGAGGAGAGAAGGCACAGUGGGAAGACGUGGGUCACCGAGGGCACAGCUUGGAGAGUUGUGCCUGGUGCCAAUCCCUCUUCGUGCUCUGGUUGCUGUCUGCCAUGAGUCGAAGAGCCUCUUCCUCUGGCGCACACCUCUGUCAUGGUCUGCUGAUCGUAUGGUACAAGCAAAUAUGCCCUGAAUGAACCCUGGGAAGGAGCAAGGUGAUACACUCCUCCCCUGAUGUGUGGCCGGAAGGUAAAGUGAGCCCUGUCUGGAGGAAUAAUUCUAACAGCAAGAUCUUCGAACUACAUCCAAGAAGUGUUCGUUCACAAUCCGGCAUUGAGGAAAUAAUUAUUAGCAGGAACUUACGAAAAGGAAAUAGGCCAAUUGAAAAAUCAAAGAGAGGACUAAAAGCAUUCUGCAUCUAAACUCACAGGCGAGCAUGUCAAACGCGGGCUGGAAACUAACUAUGAUCAAUAAGCUUGAGAAAAUAGAUUACAGAGAAGGCAGUUUCGGCACAUGACUGCAGUUUAUUAAGAGAUUAAAGCGGGUGACUUUACAUCUUAAAAUUCUAAGGUGGGAGCUGGAGACCCGGACGGCUCAGGGGCUCAAAGUCCUGAGUUUGGUUCCCGGCACCUGUGUCACGCAAUUCACAACCCCGAUAACUCUAGCUCCAGGAGACACACACACACACACACACACACACACACACACACACACACACACACACACGGUGUGUGUGUAUAAAGAUGAAAUUUAUUUAAAAACCAAACAGGUUUAAGAAUAGAUUCAACUCACUAAGCCUUUAAAGA